AGAGUUUGAUCCUGGCUCAGGAUGAACGCUAGCUACAGGCUUAACACAUGCAAGUCGAGGGGAAACGGCAUUGAGUGCUUGCACUCUUUGGACGUCGACCGGCGCACGGGUGAGUAACGCGUAUCCAACCUUCCCAUUACUGUGGGAUAACCUGCCGAAAGGCAGACUAAUACCGCAUAGUCUUCGAUGACGGCAUCAGAUUUGAAGUAAAGAUUUAUCGGUAAUGGAUGGGGAUGCGUCUGAUUAGCUUGUUGGCGGGGUAACGGCCCACCAAGGCAACGAUCAGUAGGGGUUCUGAGAGGAAGGUCCCCCACAUUGGAACUGAGACACGGUCCAAACUCCUACGGGAGGCAGCAGUGAGGAAUAUUGGUCAAUGGGCGAGAGCCUGAACCAGCCAAGUAGCGUGCAGGAUGACGGCCCUAUGGGUUGUAAACUGCUUUUGUAUGGGGAUAAAGUCAAUCACGUGUGAUUGUUUGCAGGUACCAUACGAAUAAGGACCGGCUAAUUCCGUGCCAGCAGCCGCGGUAAUACGGAAGGUCCAGGCGUUAUCCGGAUUUAUUGGGUUUAAAGGGAGCGUAGGCUGGAGAUUAAGUGUGUUGUGAAAUGUAGACGCUCAACGUCUGACUUGCAGCGCAUACUGGUUUCCUUGAGUACGCACAACGUUGGCGGAAUUCGUCGUGUAGCGGUGAAAUGCUUAGAUAUGACGAAGAACUCCGAUUGCGAAGGCAGCUGACGGGAGCGCAACUGACGCUUAAGCUCGAAGGUGCGGGUAUCGAACAGGAUUAGAUACCCUGGUAGUCCGCACAGUAAACGAUGGAUGCCCGCUGUUGGUACCUGGUAUCAGCGGCUAAGCGAAAGCAUUAAGCAUCCCACCUGGGGAGUACGCCGGCAACGGUGAAACUCAAAGGAAUUGACGGGGGCCCG
rnacentral:rRNA from 1 species